CAAACAAGUGGGAGAGGCAGGAUUCAAACCAGCGUAGACAUAUUGCCAACGAAUUUACAGUCCAUCCCCAUUAACCACUCGGGCACUCUCCCCUUCCUGGGCCGAGGCCCCCCUCAAUGGGUUCUAAGAAGGAGGGCUGAAAAAAAGCUUAUUGAUUUGGUCACCUACUUAUUUUAUGUAAUUUUGUUAGGCUACUACUUUUCACGGUUCUUCCGUGAAGUGGGAAAGGAACUCGGAGCUUUUCAAAGAAAUGAUGUCUAUGGAUGUCCACAGACUCCUAGGCUAGAAGAUGAAUGGUAUGGCACCUUAAGCAACUUAAUAAAACUCGUAUAGAAACAAAGGGCUUGCUUCCGCAUAAGAUAAGAAUGGUCUGGUGUCCCAGUUCAUUCGGACCUGUAGUUAGCUCAGCUUGAGCAGCACUUUACAACCGAUAGCACAAAAGAGAACAACGGGAGGCGAGCCCUACCUAUUAGGAUAGGAUUUUGCGUGCAUUCUUCCUCUUCUUAUUCUUAUGAAUCUUCUUUGGAGUUCCUAAUAAAGACUCCACUCACUAUUUCUACUUCCUUUAUCGUGGGCUUUCGAGCGAGGAAAAGAAGGAGGGAAAUUACGUGUGAUGACAGGUUCACCUAUCUUAUUUACGCUAUUUCCUUGUUCUGAUCCGUACCUUAC